rfam:Chania multitudinisentens RB-25, complete genome.
AAGUGUUGUCAUGUCACCCGCUGCUAUGGUAACUCUGUAGGCAUUAGUUCGACAUAAGCACAGUGAACAAACCGAUUAUGAAAGCCUUUACCCAAGUGAUUAGCCUAGUCGUGAUUAGCGUGGUGGUGAUUAUUAUUCCACCGUGCGGGGCUGCACUUGAACGAAUAAAGGCUUAGAAAACAAGCCGGAAUCGCAAGAGAACCCCCGCACCGUCAGGUCCGGGGGUUUUUUUAUGCCAAGAGAAAAGCAAAAUGAGGAGCAGAGAAUGAGUAACGGAAUGAAGUCCUGCAUUUCACGCAGUAA